rnacentral:rRNA from 1 species
GUGUCAGCCGCCGCGGUAAUACGUAGGUGGCGAGCGUUAUCCGGAAUUACUGGGUGUAAAGGGCGCGCAGGCGGGGAGACAAGUCAGAUGUGAAAUACCGGUGCUUAACACCGGGGCUGCAACUGAAACUGUUUUUCUUGAGUGUCGGAGAGGGAAGCGGAAUUCCCAGUGUAGCGGUGAAAUGCGUAGAUAUUGGGAGGAACACCAGUGGCGAAGGCGGCUUUCUGGACGACAACUGACGCUGAGGCGCGAAAGCGUGGGGAGCAAACAGGAUUAGAUACCCUGGUAGUCCACGCCGUAAACGAUGGAUACUAGGUGUAGGAGGUAUCGACCCCUUCUGUGCCGGAGUUAACACAAUAAGUAUCCCACCUGGGGAGUACGGCCGCAAGGUUGAAACUCAAAGAAAUUGACGG